rfam:Oryctolagus cuniculus unplaced genomic scaffold chrTn0021, whole genome shotgun sequence.
GGUGCUGUGGCAUAGUGGGUAAAGCCGCUGCCUGAAGUGCCAGCAUCCCAUAUGGGUGCUGGUUCGAGUCCUGUCUGCUCUA